rnacentral:rRNA from 1 species
GACGAACCGUGCGAACGUUGUUCGGAUUCACUGGGCUUAAAGGGCGCGUAGGCGGGCGGUCAAGUCGGGGGUGAAAUCUUUCCGCUUAACGGGAAGCGUGCCUCCGAUACUGAUCGCCUCGAGGGAGGUAGGGGCAUGUGGAACUUCCGGUGGAGCGGUGAAAUGCGUAGAUAUCGGGAGGAACACCGGUGGCGAAGGCGGUUCUCUGGGCCUUACCUGACGCUGAGGAGCGAAAGCGUGGGGAGCGAACAGG